rnacentral:rRNA from 1 species
UACGUAGGUGGCGAGCGUUGUCCGGAUUUACUGGGCGUAAAGGAUGCGUAGGUGGAUAUUUAAGUGAGAUGUGAAAUACCCGAGCUUAACUUGGGUGCUGCAUUUCAAACUGGAUAUCUAGAGUGCAGGAGAGGAGAAUGGAAUUCCUAGUGUAGCGGUGAAAUGCGUAGAGAUUAGGAAGAACACCAGUGGCGAAGGCGAUUCUCUGGACUGUAACUGACACUGAGGCAUGAAAGCGUGGGUAGCAAACAGG